rnacentral:rRNA from 1 species
GGCCUUGACAUACUAAGAACUUUCCAGAGAUGGAUUGGUGCCUUCGGGAACUUAGAUACAGGUGCUGCAUGGCUGUCGUCAGCUCGUGUCGUGAGAUGUUGGGUUAAGUCCCGCAACGAGCGCAACCUUUUCCUAUUUGCCAGCGGGUCAUGCCGGGAACUUUAAGGAUACUGCCAGUGACAAACUGGAGGAAGGCGGGGACGACGUCAAGUCAUCAUGGCCCUUACGGCCAGGGCUACACACGUGCUACAAUGGUCGGUACAAAGGGUUGCUACCUCGCGAGAGGAUGCUAAUCUCAAAAAGCCGAUCGUAGUCCGGAUCGCAGUCUGCAACUCGACUGCGUGAAGUCGGAAUCGCUAGUAAUCGCGGAUCAGAAUGCCGCGGUCGAAUACGUUCCCGGGCCUUGUACACACCGCCCGUCACACCAUGGGAGUUUGUUGCACCAGAAGUAGGUAGUCUAACCGCAAGGAGGACGCUUACCACGGUGUGGCCGAUGACUGGGGUGAAGUCGUAACAAGGUAGGCGUAGAUGA